rnacentral:rRNA from 1 species
UACGUAGGGUGCAAGCGUUGUCCGGAAUUAUUGGGCGUAAAGAGCUCGUAGGCGGUUUGUCGCGUCUGCUGUGAAAACCCGAGGCUCAACCUCGGGCCUGCAGUGGGUACGGGCAGACUAGAGUGCGGUAGGGGAGAUUGGAAUUCCUGGUGUAGCGGUGGAAUGCGCAGAUAUCAGGAGGAACACCGAUGGCGAAGGCAGAUCUCUGGGCCGUAACUGACGCUGAGGAGCGAAAGCGUGGGUAGCAAACAGG